rnacentral:rRNA from 1 species
AAUAGAUACCCGGGUAGUCCAUGCCGUAAACGUUGGGCACUAGGUGUGGGGCUCAUUCCACGAGUUCCGUGCCGCAGCAAACGCAUUAAGUGCCCCGCCUGGGGAGUACGGCCGCAAGGCUAAAACUCAAAGAAAUUGACGGGGGCCCGCACAAGCGGCGGAGCAUGCGGAUUAAUUCGAUGCAACGCGAAGAACCUUACCAAGGCUUGACAUACACCGGAAAAGUGCAGAGAUGCGCUCCCCUUUUGGUCGGUGUACAGGUGGUGCAUGGUUGUCGUCAGCUCGUGUCGUGAGAUGUUGGGUUAAGUCCCGCAACGAGCGCAACCCUCGUCCCAUGUUGCCAGCGGGUUAUGCCGGGGACUCAUGGGAGACUGCCGGGGUCAACUCGGAGGAAGGUGGGGAUGACGUCAAAUCAUCAUGCCCCUUAUGUCUUGGGCUUCACGCAUGCUACAAUGGCCGGUACAAAGGGCUGCGAUACCGCAAGGUGGAGCGAAUCCCAAAAAGCCGGUCUCAGUUCGGAUUGGGGUCUGCAACUCCG